GGGGAAUAUUGGACAAUGGGCGCAAGCCUGAUCCCGCCAUACCGCGUGGGUGAAGAAGGCCUUCGGGUUGUAAAGCCCUUUUGUUGGGAAAGAAAAGCAUUCGGUUAAUACCCGAUUGUUCUGACGUUACCAACAGAAUAAGCACCGGCUAACUUCGUGCCAGCAGCCGCGGUAAUACGAAGGGUGCAAGCGUUAAUCGGAAUUACUGGGCGUAAAACGCGCGUAGGUGGUUUGGUAAGAUGGAUGUGAAAUCCCCGGGCUCAACCUGGGAACUGCAUCCAUAACUGCCUGACUAGAGUACGGUAGAGGGUGGUGGAAUUUCCUGUGUAGCGGUGAAAUGCGUAGAUAUAGGAAGGAACACCAGUGGCGAAGGCGACCACCUGGACUGAUACUGACACUGAGGUGCGGAAGCGUGGGGAGCAAACA
rnacentral:rRNA from 1 species